GGCUCAGAUUGAACGCUGGCGGCAGGCCUAACACAUGCAAGUCGAACGGUAACAGGAAGAGCUUGCUUCUUUGCUGACGAGUGGCGGACGGGUGAGUAAUGUCUGGGAAACUGCCUGAUGGAGGGGGAUAACUACUGGAAACGGUAGCUAAUACCGCAUAACGUCGCAAGACCAAAGAGGGGGACCUUCGGGCCUCUUGCCAUCGGAUGUGCCCAGAUGGGAUUAGCUGUGGUGGGGUAACGGCUCACCUAGGCGACGAUCCCUAGCUGGUCUGAGAGGAUGACCAGCCACACUGGAACUGAGACACGGUCCAGACUCCUACGGGAGGCAGCAGUGGGGAAUAUUGCACAAUGGGCGCAAGCCUGAUGCAGCCAUGCCGCGUGUAUGAAGAAGGCCUUCGGGUUGUAAAGUACUUUCAGCGGGGAGGAAGGGAGUAAAGUUAAUACCUUUGCUCAUUGACGUUACCCGCAGAAGAAGCACCGGCUAACUCCGUGCCAGCAGCCGCGGUAAUACGGAGGGUGCAAGCGUUAAUCGGAAUUACUGGGCGUAAAGCGCACGCAGGCGGUUUGUUAAGUCAGAUGUGAAAUCCCCGGGCUCAACCUGGGAACUGCAUCUGAUACUGGCAAGCUUGAGUCUCGUAGAGGGGGGUAGAAUUCCAGGUGUAGCGGUGAAAUGCGUAGAGAUCUGGAGGAAUACCGGUGGCGAAGGCGGCCCCCUGACGAAGAC
rnacentral:rRNA from 1 species